UAUAAGUAAUGGUUUCUUUUGGGACGGAAACUAUAAUUUACAUUUUUUUAGUAUAAUAUGCCUUAUGAACACCAUAAAUUACUAACGAGGAAGGAUGAAAGAAAAAAACAUGAAAUUAACAACCACCAUAAGGAAGCAGACAAAGUAUAAAACUCACAAGUCAGUACGGUGUUGCACAAAUCACUCUGACACAGGAUUCAAGAUGGCGUUGUAUCUUCUACUGCUGAUGCUCACAGCCUGUGCUGCCACUCCUCAAGAUCUGUCAGGUCAAAUGUUUACCUUCCCGCAUGAAACUAACUCAGCUCAUGUGAGGCUGACAACAUCAAGACAGGUUCUGAGUGCUGUAACCCUCUGUUUCAGGUCCUUUUCAGAUCUCCGUAGAGACAUCACCCUUUUCUCUUUGUCCACACCUUCCGCUGACAAUGAUUUUGCAAUUUUUAAGAUAGCUGCAACUGAUGAGUUUAGAAUGUGGAUCAGGAAUACACACAUGGACUUCAUAGGGCAGGACUACAAACUGAAUACUUGGCACUCACUUUGUUCCACCUGGGACUCUGGAUCUGGAAAACAAAGGUUUAUCGAUAGUCAUCAAAUUAUUAUUAUUUAUUUUAUAUCAGGCAUUAUUCAUAUUUGUAUAGUACAGUUGUAGAGUUGUUUUGUGUUUAAUAAUUAUAAUAAUAAUAAUAUACCUGUACUACCAAAGCUUAACAAAACAAUGUCAGGAAAAUAUGAGUUUUAUAAACACCACAGAUUAUCUAAACUAAAUGUCUAUGUAUGUCGUUUGCAUAGGUAAGACUUUAUAACUCUUUGACCAUUUUUAAGCUUAUUGUGUGAUUUUUUUUAACUAUCUUUAGUUGUUCGAAAAUCUUAAGAAUCGGAUGGAGUUAUUACAACCAUAUAAGUGUGUUUUUGUAUACCAUAAAAAUAAUAUAUAGUAAGUGUACAUUUUACAAUUCUGGGUAAUUUCUUCAUAAAAUGUGGUCCGUGAUCAUUCUCCACAAUGUCACCUGUUUAUGUGGGUGCAGGGUUGCUUUGCUGUUUUAAAAUAAACAUGAGGAAUUUCAACAACACUGUUUUAUACUUUUCUGUGGUACAUCUACAUUCUUUGACCGGGAAAUGUUGGAAUAUGUAUCUAAUCUAACACACACACACACACACACACACACACACACACACACACACACACACACACACACACACACACA